rnacentral:rRNA from 1 species
CACCGCCCGUCACACCAUGAGAGUUUGCAACACCCGAAGUCAGUAGUCUAACCCAUCUGGAGGUCAGAGGUCGGAAGUCAGAGGUCAGAAUAGAAGAAAUCAGCGAGUCGCUUGUUUCAACGAAUCCGACAUCUGAUAUCUGAUUUCUGACUUCUAGAUGGGGGGGCGCUGCCGAAGGUGGGGCAGAUGAUUGGGGUGAAGUCGUAACAAGGUAGCCGUAUCGGAAGGUGCGGCUGGAUCACCUCCUUU